rnacentral:lncRNA from 1 species
AUAUAUAAAAUUAUAAACCAAACAUCAAAUUUACUUUUUUAGAAUAUUACAAUUUCAAUAAUCUUCUUUUUUUUAUUAUAAAAAAAUAUUUUUCUAAAAAAAUCUUAUUUUGUUCUUUGUUAUUUUGUCUUUUUAUCAAGUCAAUUUUUCUAUAAAAAAUCUUAUUUUUUUUUUAUUUUGUCUUUUUUUUAUCAAGUCCUAUUUUUCUUUUCAAUCUCAAAGCUCGAAGAAUAA